UACAGAGGUCCCAAGCGUUGUUCGGAUUCACUGGGCGUAAAGGGUGCGUAGGCGGUCGGGUAAGUCGCAUGUGAAAUCCCGCGGCUCAACCGCGGAAUGGCAUGGGAUACUAUUCGACUCGAGGAUUGGAGGGGGGACUGGAAUUCUCGGUGUAGCAGUGAAAUGCGUAGAUAUCGAGAGGAACACCGGUGGCGAAGGCGAGUCCCUGGACAAUUCCUGACGCUGAGGCACGAAAGCUAGGGGAGCAAACAGG
rnacentral:rRNA from 1 species